rnacentral:rRNA from 1 species
AUUGAACGCUGGCGGCAGGCUUAACACAUGCAAGUCGAGCGAGCGGCGGACGGGUGAGUAAUGUCUGGGAAACUGCCUGAUGGAGGGGGAUAACUACUGGAAACGGUAGCUAAUACCGCAUACCAUCAGAUGUGCCCAGAUGGGAUUAGCUAGUAGGUGGGGUAAUGGCUCAGCUAGGCGACGAUCCCUAGCUGGUCUGAGAGGAUGACCAGCCACACGGGAAGUGAAACACGGUCCAGGCUCCUGAGAGAGGCAGCAGUGGGGAAGAAUGCACAAUGGGCGGAAGCAUGAUGCAGCGAUGCCGCGUGUGUGAAGAAGGCCUUCGGGUUGUAAAGAACUUUCAGCGAGGAGGCGGUACUCGCAGAAGAAGCACCGGCUAACUCCGUGCCAGCAGCCGCGGUAAUUC